ACGAAUCGUCGAAUCGGAUGUCUGUGCAUUGUGCGAGAAAUUCGAAUCGACAUUCGACC
rnacentral:pre_miRNA from 1 species